rnacentral:rRNA from 1 species
GACGAACGCUGGCGGCGUGCUUAACACAUGCAAGUCGAACGGAAAGGCCCUGCUUUUGUGGGGUGCUCGAGUGGCGAACGGGUGAGUAACACGUGAGUAACCUGCCCUUGACUUUGGGAUAACUUCAGGAAACUGGGGCUAAUACCGGAUAGGAGCUCCUGCUGCAUGGUGGGGGUUGGAAAGUUUCGGCGGUUGGGGAUGGACUCGCGGCGUAUCAGCUUGUUGGUGGGGUAGUGGCUUACCAAGGCUUUGACGGGUAGCCGGCCUGAGAGGAUGACCGGCCACAUUGGGACUGAGGUACGGCCCAGACUCCUACGUGGGGCAGCAGUGGGGAAUAUUGCACAAUGGGCGGAAGCCUAAUGCAGCAACGCCGCGUGCGGGAUGACGGCCUUCGGGUUGUAAUCCGCUUUCGCCUGUGACGAAGCGUGAGUGACGGUAAUGGGUAAAGAAGCACCGGCUAACUACGUG